rnacentral:lncRNA from 1 species
CACGUUUCAGGGGAUAAGACUGGUACCCCCAUUUUGUUUGCUACAACUACUCACUUCCAAAGAUCGAUUCUAUUUAAACGUUUCCAUGUCUUCCUAAGGUAAGUGUGUGUAAUAAACAGUUUGAACUCUCACCAGUUUUCUUAUCAAACUCAUUAAAGGCCCAGGUUCCUGGAAUUUAUUGCCUUCUUGUCCUUAUCCCCUCCCCCAGCCCCCACACUCUU